rnacentral:rRNA from 1 species
AUACGGAGGAUGCGAGCGUUAUCUGGAUUCAUUGGGUUUAAAGGGAGCGUAGGUGGGAUAUUAAGUCAGCUGUGAAAGUUUGGGGCUCAACCUUAAAAUUGCAGUUGAUACUGGUUUCCUUGAGUACGGUACAGGUGGGCGGAAUUCGUGGUGUCGCGGGGAAAUGCUUAGAUAUUACGAAGAACUCCGAUCGCGAAGGCAGCUCACCGGGCCGGAACUGACACUGAUGCUCGAAAGUGCGGGUAUCAAACAGGAUUAGAUACCCUGGUAGUCCGCACAGUAAACGAUGAAUACUCGCUGUUUGCGAUACACUGUAAGCGGCCAAGCGAAAGCGUUAAGUAUUCCACCUGGGGAGUACGCCGGCAACGGUGAAACUCAAAGGAAUUGACGGGG